rnacentral:lncRNA from 1 species
CAGUUUUCAAUCAGUUAAGAAUAUCUAAGUUGCUCUUCUGCUGAAUUAAACAGGUACAGCAUAUGUCGGUAAGUGAUAUAAGGCAAAUACAACAAAUGUCUGAAAAUCAUGCUUUGGUAAAAGUAUUGGAGGACUUAACUGUGUUUAUCAAAUUGCAAAUACUCAAGAGUGAGGAGAAGGCAGGAGGCAUGUUCAGAGAUCAUUGGAAGGAAGACUAUGUGAGAAUGAAACAGACUUUGGAGUAGGCAGAAGUACGGCAGCUUCCAAUCUUAGCUGCAGAGCCCUAUGACCCUGGGUAUGGCUAAGCAGCUCUAAAGCUGGCAAAGGACAAGCCUUCAACAUGAAAGGGUGCAGGGCUCCCACUAGAAGAGGAAAGAAAGCAUGGAUUCUUCUCCAGAAAUGCUCCUUUAAUAAUUAACUUUGGAGACAGAGU